UGGGGAAUUUUGGACAAUGGGCGAAAGCCUGAUCCAGCAAUGCCGCGUGUGUGAAGAAGGCCUUCGGGUUGUAAAGCACUUUUGUCCGGAAAGAAAUCCUUGGCUCUAAUACAGUCGGGGGAUGACGGUACCGGAAGAAUAAGCACCGGCUAACUACGUGCCAGCAGCCGCGGUAAUACGUAGGGUGCAAGCGUUAAUCGGAAUUACUGGGCGUAAAGCGUGCGCAGGCGGUUUGCUAAGACCGAUGUGAAAUCCCCGGGCUCAACCUGGGAACUGCAUUGGUGACUGGCAGGCUAGAGUAUGGCAGAGGGGGGUAGAAUUCCACGUGUAGCAGUGAAAUGCGUAGAGAUGUGGAGGAAUACCGAUGGCGAAGGCAGCCCCCUGGGCCAAUACUGACGCUCAUGCACGAAAAGCGUGGGGGAGCAAAACAGGAUUAGAUACCCUGGUAGUCCACGCCCUAAACGAUGUCAACUAGUUGUUGGGGGAUUCAUUUCCUUAGUAACGUAGCUAACGCGUGAAGUUGACCGCCUGGGGGAGUACGGUCGCAAGAUUAAAACUCAAAUGAAUUGACGGGGUCAUAGCU
rnacentral:rRNA from 1 species